rnacentral:rRNA from 1 species
GACGAACGCUGGCGGCGUGCUUAACACAUGCAAGUCGAACGGAAAGGCCCUGCUUUUGUGGGGUGCUCGAGUGGCGAACGGGUGAGUAACACGUGAGUAACCUGCCCUUGACUUUGGGAUAACUUCAGGAAACUGGGGCUAAUACCGGAUAGGAGCUCCUGCUGCAUGGUGGGGGUUGGAAAGUUUCGGCGGUGGGGGAUGGACUCGCGGCUUAUCAGCUUGUUGGUGGGGUAGUGGCUUACCAAGGCUUUGACGGCUAGCCGGCAUGAGAGGGUGACCGGGCACAUUGGGACUGAGAUACGGACCAGACUCCUACGGGAGGCAGCAGUGGGGAAUAUUGCACAAUGGGCGGAAGCCUGAUGCAGCAACGCCGCGUGCGGGAUGCCGGCCUUCGGGUUGUAAACCGCUUUCGCCUGUGACGAAGCGUGAGUGACGGUAAUGGGUAAAGAAGCAACGGCUAACUACGUG